rnacentral:rRNA from 1 species
GAUGAACGCUGGCGGCGUGCCUAAUACAUGCAAGUCGAGCGAACAGACGAGGAGCUUGCUCCUCUGACGUUAGCGGCGGACGGGUGAGUAACACGUGGAUAACCUACCUAUAAGACUGGGAUAACUUCGGGAAACCGGAGCUAAUACCGGAUAAUAUAUUGAACCGCAUGGUUCAAUAGUGAAAGACGGUUUUGCUGUCACUUAUAGAUCGAUCCGCGCCGCAUUAGCUAGUUGGUAAGGUAACGGCUUACCAAGGCAACGAUGCGUAGCCGACCUGAGAGGGUGAUCGGCCACACUGGAAGUGAGACACGGUCCAGACUCCUACGGGAGGCAGCAGUAGGGAAUCUUACGCAAUGGGCGAAAGCUUGACGGAGCAGCGCCGCGUGAGUGAUGAAGGUCUUCGGAUCGUAAAACUGUGUUAUUAGGGAAGAACAAAUGUGUAAGUAACUAUGCACGUCUUGACGGUACCUGAUGAGAAAGCGACGGCUAACUACGUG